UACGUAGGGGGCUAGCGUUGUCCGGAUUUAUUGGGCGUAAAGAGCUCGUAGGUGGUUCGGUAAGUCGGAUGUGAAAUCUCCAGGCUCAACCUGGAGGGGUCAUUCGAUACUGCCGUGACUAGAGUUCGGUAGAGGAGUGUGGAAUUCCCGGUGUAGCGGUGAAAUGCGCAGAUAUCAGGAAGAACACCAAUGGCGAAGGCAGCUCUCUGGGACGGUACUGACGCUGAGACGCGAAAGCGUGGGGAGCGAACAGG
rnacentral:rRNA from 1 species